CCCUUUUGGGUGUGACUGCGUACCUUUUGUAUAAUGGGUCAGCGACUUAUAUUCUGUAGCAAGGUUAACCGUAUAGGGGAGCCGUAGGGAAACCGAGUCUUAACCGGGCGUUAAGUUGCAGGGUAUAGACCCGAAACCCGGUGAUCUAGCCAUGGGCAGGUUGAAGGUUGGGUAACACUAACUGGAGGACCGAACCGACUAAUGUUGAAAAAUUAGCGGAUGACCUGUGGCUGGGGGUGAAAGGCCAAUCAAACCGGGAGAUAGCUGGUUCUCCCCGAAAGCUAUUUAGGUAGCGCCUCGUGAAUUCAUCUCCGGGGGUAGAGCACUGUUUCGGCUAGGGGGCCAUCCCGGCUUACCAACCCGAUGCAAACUGCGAAUACCGGAGAAUGUUAUCACGGGAGACACACGGCGGGUGCUAACGUCCGUCGUGAAGAGGGAAACAACCCAGACCGCCAGCUAAGGUCCCAAAGUCAUGGUUAAGUGGGAAACGAUGUGGGAAGGCCCAGACAGCCAGGAUGUUGGCUUAGAAGCAGCCAUCAUUUAAAGAAAGCGUAAUAGCUCACUGGUCGAGUCGGCCUGCGCGGAAGAUGUAACGGGGCUAAACCAUGCACCGAAGCUGCGGCAGCGACACUGUGUGUUGUUGGGUAGGGGAGCGUUCUGUAAGCCUGUGAAGGUGUGUCGUGAGGCAUGCUGGAGGUAUCAGAAGUGCGAAUGCUGACAUAAGUAACGAUAAAGCGGGUGAAAAGCCCGCUCGCCGGAAGACCAAGGGUUCCUGUCCAACGUUAAUCGGGGCAGGGUGAGUCGACCCCUAAGGCGAGGCCGAAAGGCGUAGUCGAUGGGAAACGGGUUAAUAUUCCCGUACUUGGUGUUACUGCGAAGGGGGGACGGAGAAGGCUAUGUUGGCCGGGCGACGGUUGUCCCGGUUUAAGCGUGUAGGUGUGUGUUCCAGGUAAAUCCGGUUCACUUUAACACUGAGGCGUGACGACGAGGCACUACGGUGCUGAAGCAACAAAUGCCCUGCUUCCAGGAAAAGCCUCUAAGCAUCAGGUAACAC
rnacentral:rRNA from 1 species